GAAUGGGGAAACCCAGUGUGAUUCGUCACACUAUCAUUAACUGAAUCCAUAGGUUAAUGAGGCGAACCGGGGGAACUGAAACAUCUAAGUACCCCGAGGAAAAGAAAUCAACCGAGAUUCCCCCAGUAGCGGCGAGCGAACGGGGAGCAGCCCAGAGCCUGAAUCAGUGUGUGUGUUAGUGGAAGCGUCUGGAAAGGCGCGCGAUACAGGGUGACAGCCCCGUACACAAAAAUGCACAUGCUGUGAGCUCGAUGAGUAGGGCGGGACACGUGGUAUCCUGUCUGAAUAUGGGGGGACCAUCCUCCAAGGCUAAAUACUCCUGACUGACCGAUAGUGAACCAGUACCGUGAGGGAAAGGCGAAAAGAACCCCGGCGAGGGGAGUGAAAAAGAACCUGAAACCGUGUACGUACAAGCAGUGGGAGCACGCUUAGGCGUGUGACUGCGUACCUUUUGUAUAAUGGGUCAGCGACUUAUAUUCUGUAGCAAGGUUAACCGAAUAGGGGAGCCGAAGGGAAACCGAGUCUUAACUGGGCGUUAAGUUGCAGGGUAUAGACCCGAAACCCGGUGAUCUAGCCAUGGGCAGGUUGAAGGUUGGGUAACACUAACUGGAGGACCGAACCGACUAAUGUUGAAAAAUUAGCGGAUGACUUGUGGCUGGGGGUGAAAGGCCAAUCAAACCGGGAGAUAGCUGGUUCUCCCCGAAAGCUAUUUAGGUAGCGCCUCGUGAAUUCAUCUCCGGGGGUAGAGCACUGUUUCGGCAAGGGGGUCAUCCCGA
rnacentral:rRNA from 1 species